AUGGUGGUGCUGGUGGUCCAGAAGUUUUUGGCUUCUCUAACCACAGCUGACUGCUGCUAAGUUUAAAGAAAAACCAGAAGUAAUAUAGUACCCAAGUUAAGAGCUAGACUGGAUUGGAAUACUCCUUUAUGAACAAUGAGCUGUAUGGCCUUGGCUUCUUCAAGAGUGACAGGACAUUUGACAACUGGGGCUGUUGCAAUGGUCAUAUGAAUGAAGCAUCAGGUGCGCUGGUACCUCACACAAUAUGCAGAAGCAGAACCACCAAGCAAGUCCUGAGACAACAUCAUGAACAUUCUUGGAAGGCCCAUAUGCUUGCCUGUAGAUCUAUGCAUAAAUGCGUAUACAUCGGGAUCCCUGCGUGGCGCAGCGGUUUGGCGCCUGCCUUUGGCUCAGGGCACGAUCCUGGAGACCCGGAAUCGAAUCCCACGUCAGGCUCCCGGUGCAUGGAGCCUGCUUCUCCUUCUGCCUAUGUCUCUGCCUCUCUCUCUCUCUCUGUGUGA
rnacentral:lncRNA from 1 species